UAAAGCUGCUUAUGAAUAAUCAACAUCUCUAAUUACCCAAAUUGAUAAUAGAAAUUUAUUAAAAAGACUGAUUUGAGAAAAUUUUCCCAGUAUUUGUUAUCUAAUAAGAGCGAUUGUUCGAGACAUCCGUUGCAAAUCUGUUGAUUGAUAAAGCGGUUCUUUGUACCGUGCUUCACAUCCGGAGUCAUGUAUGACUCAUGCAUAGUCAUAGUGACGCAUUUACCGUUCGCCACACAGAGAUACAUACAUUAAUAAUUAAUCAUUGCAAUCUUUUUCGUAAACAUACGAAACAAGGCUUAUUUCCGCCAUUCGGUAUCAUUCAAUAGUUUCGGUUUAAAAUAUUCAAGAUCGGUGUAAUGCUUAGUAAUAGUACAUACUAUAUAAUAAAUAUUCUUGUACACAAUGUGUUUUCUUUUCCCAUUUGAAAUUUGAAAUCUUAAAAUUUAUCAAAGAUAAAAAAAACAAUAUAGAAAAAAAUAUCAUCGAAUUAGCCUUUUUCUAAAAUCUAAAUAGACGGGUAUCUUUUUUUUCAACACACGUUCAACGGUUUUAUACUAAUUGUAGACAAUUUGUUUACAGUUUUCUUUUCUUUUAUCGUCGAAUGCAUAUUUAUUCGAUGAAUAGGAAUUAGUCGGAAUUUAUGUGUCGUCGAAGAAACCUAGAUACAAGAUCCUCAGCGAUAUGCGACUUCGACAAUCAAAUGAAGCACCUCUGCUAUAUAAAUAUCAGUAUAGGACUGCAAUUACAUACAUCGAGCUGCUUACGUAAGCGUGAAUAACAACAUGCGUUGGCGUGGCCGAAGAAUGCGAAAAAGUGCUUGUUGGAAAUUAUAUGGCUCAAGGAAAAAGUUGUAUGAAAAAGCGGUAUGUUUUGCAAUAUGUCGUUGAAUUGUAAAAUUGCGGCGCAAUUUCAUCGAGUGGAUAAUAUGAUAUACAUGAAAAUAUAUUUACAAAAAAUAUUCAGAGCAGCAAGAGCCAGCAUACGUUAAAACUAAAACGCUUUAAACGCGGUUAAACGCAAAUUAUUUUCUCAUCAGUCUGUAUAUAUAUAUAUGUAUUCUCCAACAUUUCUGCGUAUAACUGGCGCGAUGAGUGUAAAUAAAUAUUGCGUAUCAAAAACUCAUUUAAAAUAUACUUUUACGCAGUAGUAUAUUCUAGAAGAGAAAAAGUCGCACUUAUCUGAAAGAUUAGACGUCUUUACGAUACUUUAAUGAUAUUUGUUAUUUACAUCAUUUGUAUCAUGUUAUCGAAUAGUUUUUAUUUUGAUUUAUUUACUGCUAUAUAUACAUAUAUAUAUAUAUGAUUUGAUGAGUGCGUACAUAUAUAUGUUCAAGACGCACGUGUACAUUGAAUAUUUUAAUAUCUGGAUUUAUUUAAAAGGAUGGAAACAUGAUGUAAGUGUAAUAUGGAAGCAUUUAUAUAAUUAAAAUAAAAUUGUUACAUCUUUAAAUAGAAAAUAUAUCCGUAAUAAUGUAAUGAAGGAUAAGAUUAUAAAAAGCUAAAGUGAACGGAUGACCGUGAAUAAAAUACAUUCAAAUUAAAAAAUUAAGAUUCAAAAAAUGAAUAGAUUAUUAAAAAAAAAUACAAAUUCACAUGAAAUAUAUAAAAAAGUCGCCAGCAGCGAAGUAUAAAAAUCUAACUGGAUGAUGAUAUAUAUAUAUAUAUAUAUAUAUAUAAUGUUCCAAUUUCGAUAAUCUAACAUAUAACAUUUUGUCUGAAAAGACAAAACUGAUAAAUGUUACACAAGAUAAAUGUUAUACAUAAAUUUUAUAAUUCAAAUGUAUAAAUAUAUAUGAAGAUAUAUUAUAUAUAUUAAACAAUAUUUAUAAAAAUUAUCGAUACUACACGUUUCAAUUUGGGAUAUGUAUGUACAAAUUGUAAAAGAAAGAGAGAACAAAAACAUUAUAAUAAAUAUUUAAAUAUAACAGA